rnacentral:rRNA from 1 species
UACGUAGGCAGCAAGCGUUGUUCGGAGUUACUGGGCGUAAAGGGUGUGUAGGCGGUUGUUUAAGUUUGGUGUGAAAUCUCCCGGCUCAACCGGGAGGGUGCGCCGAAUACUGAAUGACUAGAGUGCGGGAGAGGAAAGUGGAAUUCCUGGUGUAGCGGUGAAAUGCGUAGAUAUCAGGAGGAACACCGGUGGUGUAGACGGCUUUCUGGACCGUAACUGACGCUGAGACACGAAAGCGUGGGUAGCAAACAGG